AGCUAGUUGGUGGGGUAAUGGCCUACCAAGGCGACGACGGGUAGCCGGCCUGAGAGGGCGACCGGCCACAUUGGGACUGAGAUACGGCCCAGACUCCUACGGGAGGCAGCAGUGGGAAUAUUGCACAAUGGGCGCAAGCCUGAUGCAGCAACGCCGCGUGCGGGAUGACGGCCUUCGGGUUGUAAACCGCUUUCAGCAGGGACGAAGCGCAAGUGACGGUACCUGCAGAAGAAGCACCGGCUAACUACGUGCCAGCAGCCGCGGUGAUACGUAGGGUGCGAGCGUUGUCCGGAUUUAUUGGGCGUAAAGAGCUUGUAGGCGGUUAGUCGCGUCGUAAGUGCAAACUCAGGGCUUAACCCUGAGCCUGCUUUCGAUACGGGCUGACUAGAGGAAGGUAGGGGAGAAUGGAAUUCCCGGUGGAGCGGUGGAAUGCGCAGAUAUCGGGAGGAACACCAGUGGCGAAGGCGGUUCUCUGGACCUUUCCUGACGCUGAGAAGCGAAAGCGUGGGGAGC
rnacentral:rRNA from 1 species